rnacentral:rRNA from 1 species
GACGAAGGAUGCAAGCGUUAUUCGGAUUCAUUGGGUUUAAAGGGAGCGUAGGUGGCCUUAUAAGUCAGUGGUGAAAUCUCUGGGCUUAACCCAGAAAUUGCCAUUGAUACUGUAGGGCUUGAGUAUAGUUGCCGUUGGCGGAAUAUGACAUGUAGUGGUGAAAUACAUAGAGAUGUCAUAGAACACCGAUUGCGAAGGCAGCUGACGAAACUAUAACUGACACUGAGGCUCGAAAGUGCGGGGAUCAAACAGG